UACGUAGGGUGCGAGCGUUGUCCGGAAUUAUUGGGCGUAAAGGGCUCGUAGGCGGUUUGUCGCGUCGGGAGUGAAAACCUCGGGCUUAACUCGGGGCUUGCUUUCGAUACGGGCAGACUAGAGGUAUGCAGGGGAGAACGGAAUUCCUGGUGUAGCGGUGAAAUGCGCAGAUAUCGGGAGGAACACCGGUGGCGAAGGCGGUUCUCUGGGCCUGUGCUGACGCUGAGGAGCGAAAGCGUGGGGAGCGAACAGG
rnacentral:rRNA from 1 species